rnacentral:piRNA from 1 species
UGAGCCUUCUUUGGUUUUGCGGGGAUGGUU